rnacentral:rRNA from 1 species
CAGCCGCCGCGGGAAUACCGAGGGUGCAAGCGUUAAUCGGAAUUACUGGGCGUAAAGCGUGCGUAGGCGGCUUUUUAAGUCGGAUGUGAAAUCCCUGAGCUUAACUUAGGAAUUGCAUUCGAUACUGGGAAGCUAGAGUAUGGGAGAGGAUGGUAGAAUUCCAGGUGUAGCGGUGAAAUGCGUAGAGAUCUGGAGGAAUACCGAUGGCGAAGGCAGCCAUCUGGCCUAAUACUGACGCUGAGGUACGAAAGCAUGGGGAGCAAACAGGAUUAGAUACCCCGGUAGUCCCUGUCUCUUAUAC